rnacentral:lncRNA from 1 species
GGCAACCAAAAAAGAAAAAGAUAAAAAAUCAAAGUAUGCAUUGAAAAUAUAAGGAAGCGAGCCCUUGGUCUACAACCAGGGGGUUACUCAAAGCAUUAGCAAUAGUUUCUUUACAGGAUUAAGAAAACAUCAAGAUAUGAAAUCAACAUCAAUUCUGCCCUCAUCUGUAAAGCAUUCGACAUCAGCCUACUUGGUCAUACCAUUCAUUAUUCAACUAUAAAUAAGCACAACUGCAGAAAUUACAUAAGAAAUAAGGCUACAAAAGUAAAAACAUUUUCCCAUCAAGCAAUCCUUUCAAGGGAAUAGGAGAAGCAAAACAACUGAUGUAGUCGGUUCAUAUGUAGAUUUUUUGAAUUAAUGUGAACACACAACUGAGCCUUAAUGUGUUACCGCCAUACGAUGCAAAAAAAAUUGUAGCUACAUCCAAAAACCACAUGCAAGAUUCAGGUUACAAACAAAUAUAAAUUUUGAUGCAUUUAAAAAACCUUAGACCAAAGCCAGCCCACUCACAACUUUGGCCUUAUGCCUGUGGAUCGUGCAGGCUACCGAGCACUACAACACGUCCUAGCAUCGCCACAUGCCUUAUCAAACUUUGGUCUGAAGUGAAUUUGCUUGCUGUUGCAAUUGUUUGCUAUAAUAUUCUUUGCCUUUGGUUGACCAAACACCACCUCAAAUUGUGAUUUGAGAAGCGGUAAUUUAACACCACAAUAUCCCAAAGUAGCAUGCAUAUUCAUAAGCUUCUAUACACGCUUUGGUAAUAAUUUUUAUAACCCAUCUAGAGUUGUCUGAGAAGAAGUACUGAUUUCAGAUUGCAGCAGAAACAUCAGCAUAUCGUCCAUUGUUUGCAUAAUGCACCCGUAUGUCAUAUGUUCUCUCUAUCAAGCACCUGAAACAUUGGAAGCUUGGUCAAAUCACUUCUCAACAUCUUGAAGAUACAUUGGGAGCUUGGUCAUCCAAUCAGGAAACAUAUUAAGCUAACAAUUGAUUGAAGAUGCGAAAUAAUUGAAUUGAAUUGAAGAGAAAAGACAGAGCAAGGUGGCUCACGGGAGGAUUCAGUAUAGUAUGUAGUAUGCAGCAACAGUAACCCCAACCACAGGGCAGCCAGCAACCUCAGCGACGCCGGUGUCCGCGACGGGUGUCAACCCAAGGUAGGCAGCAACCCAACCCCAGCACCGGAGGCCCCCCGUUGGCAGUCCUAGGUUGAGGCGUCUUGAAAGGACCUGAGUUUCUAACAUAGAUUACAAUGGAAUGUCCAAAGCAUUCUCCAACUUCUUGAAACGAUGCUUGUCCUCGCAACCUCUUUCAGUGGCAGCAUUGAGAUUAUAAGAGUCUGAAUCUCCUGCGACAAGAAAGGACUUGAGUUUCUAACUGGUAGACACAAUGAGCUGAAUGUGCAGGUAUUUGAAAGAGAAAUCUUGAGAUGGAAGCUGUAGUUUCUUUUUCAGUGGCUUCACUGCAUGCUUCGUGAUGUUUUUAAGCAAGAUAACAUUCCAAUUCAUACAGAAACCAAGUUAAGCAAGGAAUCUAAAAUGUCGAGCCCCACUUAGGAACAAGAUGAUAUUUUUAUGCACAAAAUAAUUUAAGCGAGACCUAAACAUUGAGCCUCACAUUUUGCCAUAGGGUUCCACAUCCAUGGUUCGUGGAGACACACGUGCAUCACAUCAAGCAACGAUUUAAUUUCCCUUGUUGUAAUGUAAGGAAGAUUAGGAGAGAGAGAGAGAGAGAGGAAAAAAGGAGGAACCAACAGAAGGUGAGUUACCGCAGGCAGGUCCAACUUCCGGAAGGACGACGUGUCACCGGUGGCUACACCGUGGAGGUGCUCAGUUCUGCCCAGCUUGCCCGUCGCCGCAUCUUCCAUAGACUGCUGCAGUGAGGGAGGUUCCACAGGUUAGUUAAUGGCGAAAGGAACUCUGCGCCCGCAAAUUUGUCAGAAACACGUACGGGAGAGGAGAGGAUGCUAGCGCAACUUACUUUCUAAUAUAAUAGAGGAGGAGGUGCAGGUGCAGGAGGGGGAUCUGCUUCGUCCUCCUUGGCUCAGGCCAUCCACAAAUCCAUCUACUCCGACAGAUGAUGCUCCUGGUCGGCCGGCGUCGGGGCUGCUCACCGCGGCAUCGCGGCCGGUGUCCUGCGCCUCGCCCAUGUCCUUUUCCGAGCGGGCGGCAACCGGUGAGGGUGGGGCGAGCGAGCGGCGGCGUGGAGGGGAGGCGGCGCCCGCGACGAGCAGGUGAAGGCGGGGCGGGCGGGGCGGAGCGGUUGGCGAAAAGGACGUGCGAGGAUUAGCGUUAGCGUUAACGAAGACUUCGUUAUUUCGUUAACAAAAGUUUUAGUCCAUUGAUUACGUGAUUGGAUGGUUGAGAUUGUAAGUUGAAUCUGCCCUCUCGUGCUUUUUAUAGUGUAGAUGAUAUCUAGUAACAAACAAAGACAACAAUCUCUUGCCAACACAAACACAAGACACGUCCAUGUCGUCCUCCCCACCGACGGAUCUACUUAAUCUAUGGGGCCCUCAACUCUCCAACAAGACCGGCUCCACAUUCAUCAUUGAUGUCCUAUGGAACAUCUGGAAGAGAAGAAAUGCCAAAGUCUUCCGAUGGGACCUACAGCCCAUUCACCUUAUCGCUCGCUUUGCGGCGGAUGACGUUAUGCUCUGGUCAAAUAGGUGUUCGCAUGAGCAACCCAUGCUCACUUUGCGCGACUGGUGUACCAUGUUGUUUCACUUGUCUGAGAGAUUGUAACUCUUUAUAACCCUCUCUCUCGAACUCUCAACCCUC